GAUGAACGCUAGCGGCAGGCUUAACACAUGCAAGUCGAGGGGUAUAGUUCUUCGGAACUAGAGACCGGCGCACGGGUGCGUAACGCGUAUGCAAUCUACCUUUUGCAGAGGGAUAGCCCAGAGAAAUUUGGAUUAAUACCUCAUAGUAUGUGAGAAUGGCAUCAUUUUCACAUUAAAGUCACAACGGCAAAAGAUGAGCAUGCGUCCCAUUAGCUUGUUGGUAAGGUAACGGCUUACCAAGGCAACGAUGGGUAGGGGUCCUGAGAGGGAGAUCCCCCACACUGGUACUGAGACACGGACCAGACUCCUACGGGAGGCAGCAGUGAGGAAUAUUGGACAAUGGGCGCAAGCCUGAUCCAGCCAUGCCGCGUGCAGGAUGACGGUCCUAUGGAUUGUAAACUGCUUUUGUACAGGAAGAAACACUGGUUCGUGAACCAGCUUGACGGUACUGUAAGAAUAAGGAUCGGCUAACUCCGUGCCAGCAGCCGCCGUAAGAC
rnacentral:rRNA from 1 species